GCCUGGGUGGCUCAGUUGGUUGAGCAUCCGACUUCAGCUCAGGUCACAAUCUCACAGCUCGUGAGUUCAAGCCCCACGUCAGGCU
rfam:Felis catus isolate Cinnamon breed Abyssinian chromosome C2, whole genome shotgun sequence.